rnacentral:rRNA from 1 species
GUGCAGCAGGCGAGAAUUUUUCUCAAUGGGCGAAAGCCUGAAGGAGCGACGCCGCGUGGAGGAUGAAGGCCUUCGGGUUGUAAACUCCUGUCAUUUGAGAACAAGUGCCAACAAGUAACUACUGUUGGCUUGAUAGUAUCAGAAGAGGAAGGGACGGCUAACUCUGUGCCAGCAGCCGCGGUAAUACAGAGGUCCCAAGCGUUGUUCGGAUUCAUUGGGCGUAAAGGGUGCGUAGGUGGCGCCAUAAGUCAGGUGUGAAAUUUCGGAGCUUAACUCCGAAACUGCAUUUGAUACUGUGGUGCUUGAGGACUGGAGAGGAGACUGGAAUUUACGGUGUAGCAGUGAAAUGCGUAGAGAUCGUAAGGAAGACCAGUGGCGAAGGCGGGUCUCUGGACAGUUCCUGACACUGAGGCACGAAGGCCAGGGGAGCAAACGGGAUUAGAUACCCCUGUAGU